rnacentral:misc_RNA from 1 species
UUUUUUUUUUUUUUUUUUUAAAGCCAUAAUAAGAACAAGAGAAGAGAGAGAUGAGAAGGUGAAGAAAUAUGGAAGUGGCAAAAUGGCAAUCUCUGCACCACUCAAGGAUGGACCCAAUAUCUCCUCCAGCCAAUAGCAUCUCUCCCUCCCAUAUCUCUACCCUUUUUGGACUUGUAAGCUUCCAUUUCUCCUUGACUGAAAAAUUUUUAUUAAGACUAUCAUAAAAACUAAAAGAUAAAGAAUUUUUCUUUUUUUUCUUGAAUGAGAAAAAAAAUCAUUCUAACACGCAAGACCGCAACAGAAAGGUUCCCACAGUUUUGCAUUCUUCCUUUCUCCUCAACUGCUUACUCCUUACUUUGUAGUCUCCACCUCUUCUUCUUCUACUACUAAUAAUAAUACGGUUUGUUCCAGAAGGCUAACAACACGAUCUUUGGGAGAUUUAGUAUACAACACAUUCUUUUACGCUGACCUUAGUGAAUUGAGAACAGUUGAAGAGCUGUAAACGAAUUUUGCUUCAUUAAGUAGGUUGAGAUCUUGUAAUGCUCAUUGCACAUACUUGAAAGGAAGACAUAUGAUGGUCACUGCAGCAGUUGUCGGACUUAGUGCAGGAAAGAAGUUCUUGAGUUCUACCUUUUAUUAUUCUGACCUUACAGAAAAGCUUUUCAAUGUCAAUGAUAAUGGAUUAACCCACUACCAAAUUGCUUCAACAAAGAAUGUGAUAGUUGCAAAAAAGUCAUCAAAUUAUGGCCCCAGUUACCCAUCAUCCAAUAGAAAUACACAGUCUAUUAAGGCUCUUAAAGAACAUAUGGAUACUGCCUCUGCUCCCUCAACUGCAGCAACACGGUUCAAGACAUUCCAUGACAUAGAAGAGGAUAUUUCUGAUCUCGACUAUUCAGUGGAGGCACUUCUCUUGUUGCAGAAGUCAAUGCUUGAGAAACAGUGGAAUCUUUCGUUUGAGAGGACAGCCUCAAGUGAUUCAACCAAUAAAAAAAGUCAAAAGAAGAUACCUGUCACUUGCUCUGGAUUAUCUGCUCGACAACGGAGAAUAAAUACUAGGAGGAAGAAUCUGAGCCAAAGUAAAUCCAUAGUGCAAGCUAGUACAUUUAAGCAGCUAAAAUCAGCUGUCAGUCCUGAGCUGCUGCAGAAUCGUUUGAAGGGUUAUGUUAAGGGUGUAGUAAGUGAAGAGCUUCUCACGCAUGCAGAAGUUGUAUGCCUGUCAAGGAUAAUUAAAGCUGGUCUUUCCAUGGAAGAACAUAGAUCCAGGUGAGACACACCGAUUCUUCUUCGUAUGCCUUGUUAAAUUUCAAAGAGAAGUAGCUUUGCCAUGCCAAAGACAUUUUUUCUGUAUGUGGAGAGACCUCAAAAGUGAUCAUAAAAUGUAGAAUUGAAGCAACGAUACCCUGAUUCAAUAAUAAAUGGAUCACAGGAGGUUUUGUUUCCUUCUUAUUGUCAUCUCAAUGUUUUUUCUUUUUGAAAUACUCCAUUCUUCUCAAAAAUCAAAGCUGCUUAUUUUGGAAAGAAAUUAAAGACAUAUGAUCUUAUUAAUUAUAAGUCAUCCAUUUACAUUGCAAAUUCCAGGCUGAAGGAGAGAUUAGGAUGUGAGCCCUCUGAUGAAGAACUCGCAACUUCCUUGAGGAUAUCUCGUGCAGAGUUACAAUCCAAAUUGAUAGCUUGUUCUUUGGCAAGAGAGAAACUAGCAAUGAGCAAUGUUCGUCUAGUUAUGUCUAUUGCUCAAAGAUAUGAUAACAUGGGCGCUGAAAUGGCUGACCUUGUUCAGGGAGGUUUGAUUGGACUAUUGCGUGGCAUUGAGAAGUUUGAUUCUUCAAAGGGGUUCAAAAUUUCAACUUAUGUUUAUUGGUGGAUACGUCAGGGUGUCUCAAGAGCAUUAGUUGAGAAUUCAAGAACCUUAAGGCUGCCUAAUCAUUUACAUGAAAGGUUAGGCUUAAUACGAAAUGCAAAAAUCAGACUGGCAGAGAAAGGAGUAACUCCUUCAAUUGAUGUACGUUUUUUUUUUUUUUUUGAAUCAAAGAAAUUUUGUUUCUAUUUUAAUUCCUUCUGUGCUAGCAUAUCAGUUUAAUUCGCCAUUCAACUAGUCUCAAUGUACAGAACAUUAAUAUGUCUUAUUUUGCUGUUAUUUUCAGAGGAUUGCAAAGUCCCUGAAAAUGUCCCAGAAAAAAGUUAGGAAUGCAACAGAGGUAUUAAAUAUUGAAGACACUUCCUGCACAUUAUCCUCUUAUUCUCCCUAUGCAACUCCUUACCACACAAUUUCAUUAUGUGUAGGCAAUUAGCAAGGUCUUUUCACUUGAUAGGGAAGCAUUCCCCUCUUUGAAUGGUCUCCCAGGAGAGACUCACCAUAGUGUAAGCGAAGAUCAACUUGGAUUCUGCAAAUUCAUCUCAGAAUAUUAUUUUUCACCCUUUUAGUUAUUUGUGUCUAUUUUGCUCGGGAUUGAGUUCUCUUUCUUUCUUAUUUCUUUCUUUCUUUUUUUCCUUCUAAAGUACGUUGCAGAUAAUUGCCUUGAGAACAACCCAUGGCAUGGAGUAGAUGAAUGGGCACUCAAGGAAGAAGUAAACAAGCUUAUCAAUGUGACUCUUCAAGAACGAGAAAGGGAGAUUAUAAGACUUUACUAUGGUUUGGAUAAUGAAUCCCUUACAUGGGAGGACAUUAGUAAGCGGUGAGUAGAAAUAAAGAAUUCCCUACUUCUCAGAAAAUUGGCUGCACUGACUCUUUAGAAGCACCUUGAUAGGUAGAGAAUGGCACAUUCUUCAGUUACACAAAUCAGAAGCACCCUUUCGCUUUUAUGCAUCUGAGAGUCUAAGACGUUGUAUCCAUUGGCAAACUCUUAGCUCUUUACUUAGAAAGCUAUUUGGUUUUUUUGUGCAUGAUUUCAGUUUCUUUUGGAACAGUGUAUGAACUGACUGACAGGGUCUGUUUAUAUCCUAAAAAUUGAAUCAUGGUUAUCUGUAGUGAUAGCAUCUGUGCUUUAGGGAAUUACAUAACGGGAAGGAACUUAUUAUUCCUUUAAUGUAUGAGGAAUUACAUGUUGUUCCUUCCUUUUUUUUUGAAAAAAAAAAUAUAUGUACCAUGUGAAUUUAACAGUGGCACUGCAACAUCUCUUCAGGAUAGGUUUGUCCAGAGAGAGAAUUCGACAAGUCGGGCUUGUUGCACUAGAGAAAUUAAAACAUGCUGCAAGGAAGAAGAAGCUAGAGGCCAUGCUAUUGAAACAUUGAAUUGGUGCAUGUUUCCUUAAAACUCCAGUAUACGAGACUGUAAAUAUGCAGAAAGGAAAGCUUUAUCUUCAAUUUCCUUUUUCGGAGUAGAAACAACUAUAGGAGAUCAUGUUUGCAAGGGCCCAUCACCCCAAAACUUGCUGUAGAGUUGAGCAUCCUGAUUUAAGAGCUAGCUGGAGAAAAAAAUUUUCUUGUAUUUAUCAUAUAAUUUGAGGGAAAACCUGUGGAUCUGAAAUCAAAAUCAUUCUACUGUGUAUGAUGAUGGCAAUGAUCAACUGUUUAGCUUUAGUCAUUUUUGGAUGGAAAUAAUUUGAGCAUUUUUACAUCCUAUCUAAUUGAAAUCAAUGUUCAUAUCAAAUAAAAGAUAGAAGGAAAUUAGACUGUUUUGUAUUCAUGUUUUCUCAGUAUAUGAAUG